CGCAACCCCUGCUUUCAGUUACUAACAGGUCAGGCUGAGAACUCUGGAGAGACUGCCCAGGAGAACGGGGAGGAAGGUGGGGAUGACGUCAAGUCAGCAUGGCCUUUAUGCCUGGGGCUACACACGUGCUACAAUGGCCGGUACAAAGGGCUGCAAACCCGCAAGGGGGAGCCAAUCCCAAAAAACCGGCCUCAGUUCAGAUUGGGGUCUGCAACUCGACCCCAUGAAGGCGGAAUCGCUAGUAAUCGCGGAUCAGAACGCCGCGGUGAAUACGUUCCCGGGCCUUGUACACACCGCCCGUCACACCACGAAAGUUUGUUGUACCUGAAGUCGUUGCGCCAACCGCAAGGAGGCAGGCGCCCACGGUAUGACCGAUGAUUGGGGUGAAGUCGUAACAAGGUAAAGGG
rnacentral:rRNA from 1 species